CCUGCCAGUCCUCCCCUUGGUGGCCAGAGGAUCCAUAUGAGGAGAAGCCAGCAGGAUGCACGACCCUCCCAGCACCAAUCUCAAGAGAAAGAAAUUCCUUCCUCCCCUUCUGAAAACUCACCUCUUCCACUCAUGUCCUCCACCUCAUCAAUCAGGGUCUCACUUUCUCCGUCCUGGAUGCCAGCACAUCAAUCCAGCACACCACAGUCAAUCAACAGGAGAGGAAACAGGAUUCACUUCUGAAAGUGGGAAUUGCAAGACACAAGGGCUGAAGAUGAUAAAGCAGAGAAGAAAUGAUGGAACGGUCACAGCAUUCAGCACUUUUUAGACAGCCGGUACUCACCUGUUCAGCCUGCAGGUUGGCUCCAGGAAAGCAGGUUUGGAAUGGUUUGGAAGGUCUUCAGUCUGCUCCCCACUCCUCUGAUCCCCUCAUCUGCUCAGGGCUGGACUGAGCUUGCCCAGUAUUUCCAGUUUGUGUGAGCAGGGCACAGUCCAGAGGGCUGGAUGGCCUGGAGAACAGAGCUGGGAGUCUGUCUGGGUACCACCCCACUGAGCUUCUACCUCCCCUCCUCUGGGCAAUGACCUGCUAUGCCCUGAAGCUGCCAGCCCACGUGGGACCUCAUCCAACACCUCAUCCAAUUUGGCAAUUCCUCCUGUUCCUGCAGUGCCCAGUCCUGUUUACAUCACAGGGUCUACUGCUUCUCUGCUCCCUUGGCCCAGCUGCAGGUAGGUGAUAAGAGCCCCUGAGUGCUGGAGGAGUCUGUAUCUCCCUGUGCAGGUCGCUCAGAGACCUCCUGGGCCACGGCACCACAGGUAUCUCCAGCCCUUUGGGAUGGCACCUGGGGACACCAGAUGCAGAGCAGUGGCCCAUGCUCUGCAUGUCAAGGUUGCAUUCUGUGAAAAGGGGAAGUCUGGCUCCUGUCCUGGCUGUUUGCCCAGUUUUGUCCUGCUGCAUGGGUUCAUAGUGGAGAUGUUUGCAGGGCAUGUGCCACCUUGACUGCUCAACUGGUAAAUGGCAUGUGCUGGGCUUUGUAUUUCACCACCUCUCUGUUCUCCAGGCAACUCUUCAUGUGUCGAGGGAUGAUGGCCUUAUUCCCAGUCCCAGGGAACACAAGGCAUUCCACUCUUCUGUGUCACAUCACUCUGGAAGGCACCAGCUGAGCACAAAUAAAGCAGAAUGCAAGG